UCCAUCAGAUCCAUCCAAAGUCGCAUGGGUCAUUACUUGCUCGAAUUCGCCGUCCCCAGAACGGCCAACGGGUAGCAACUUUGGAACGCCAUUCAAGGCGAUUUCACAGUGAGCGAACCCAGAGGGGUUCACAGCUCCAAGGUACGUAUUCAAGUCGAGGUCUGGGUCUCGACUGGCAUUCAGAUCCACGGGAGGUGGC
rnacentral:lncRNA from 1 species